UAUAUUUUUUUAUAAAAAAAUUCCAUUAUAAUAUUUAUGUACUUUUAGUACUAUUAAGAUAAACCUCUAUGUAAUUACUAUUUUGGACUCGGGGGCAGUACCCGACACCUCCACCAAUUAAACUAUAUUUCUAAUGGGGGUGAUAUAGCUUCGACAGGGUAGGAAAGAUAGAUCUUCUUACGGUAUGAUUCCACCGUUAUCGGGUUACUUUUUAUAAAUGCCAAUGAUAACAAUCAGGCAGUGGCUUACGCAGCGUAGCGCUAGUAAGCUCUAGGGGUUUGGCUAGUACCUGGCAACAGAAACUAGCCACU
rnacentral:tmRNA from 1 species